CCUACGGGAGGCAGCAGUGGGGAAUUUUGGACAAUGGGCGCAAGCCUGAUCCAGCCAUGCCGCGUGCAGGAUGAAGGCCUUCGGGUUGUAAACUGCUUUUGUACGGAACGAAAAGACUCUGGUUAAUACCUGGGGUCCAUGACGGUACCGUAAGAAUAAGCACCGGCUAACUACGUGCCAGCAGCCGCGGUAAUACGUAGGGUGCGAGCGUUAAUCGGAAUUACUGGGCGUAAAGCGUGCGCAGGCGGUUAUAUAAGACAGAUGUGAAAUCCCCGGGCUCAACCUGGGAACUGCAUUUGUGACUGUAUAGCUAGAGUACGGCAGAGGGGGAUGGAAUUCCGCGUGUAGCAGUGAAAUGCGUAGAUAUGCGGAGGAACACCGGAUGGCGAAGGCAAUCCCCUGGGCCUGUAACUGACGCUCAUGCACGAAAGCGUGGGGAGCAAACAGGAUUAGAUACCCUGGUAGUCCCACGACCUAACGACUGUCACUAGGUUGUUGGGUUCGUUCUACUGUACUCACGUAACGAACGACGUAACGACGUGUAAGUUAGUACCGACCGUCGGGGUAGGGUACCGGGCCGGCCGAACGGUUAGUAACGUACGAAAGUAGUAAGUUAGUACGGCGUAGAGACGUAGACCGACGGACGACGACGAGGGGAGGAGGG
rnacentral:rRNA from 1 species